GCCAGUUCGGGCAGGGUGUUUUAAGAAAGCCAGUGACUGGCUAGCCAGGGCUUGGCAUGAGGGGAUGCUUCUCAAGGAGCUAGUUUUCACUUGUACCAUAAUAUAUAGAAGGGUUUGUUCAUUUAUUCCCUUACUCACCCUUUCGGAGGAGUUGCAAGCUUAAAUUCCAGCAGGGAAUGGAUGUAAUAUAUGAAGCGUGGUGAAUGACGAGAGGGAGAAAAGAUUGGAUUGAGACUCAAGCUUACUUGGUACAUCGGUCAAGAAGCAGCAACCCCUCAUGUUAGACAAGGAGAACACCAAGCCCUGGCUGUGAGUGCCAGCAAAUGAGCUCAUAGCAACCCCAAGGCCAAAGUGAUAAGUCCCAGGUGGGUUAGAUAUUCGGCACUGUGUGGGGAAGACCUGUCUGGUAUCCUGCUUGACUUUCCAGUGUCCUGUCAGACCUUCACGUGGUCCUCUGUGCUUCUGCCAUUUGCUGUGAGAAAAACAUGCCUCAAGUGGCCACUGCUCUCUGGAGAAUGGGGAGACGCUUGGAACAGAUCUGAGCCCACCCUGGAGCCUGGAGCCCAGCUCAUGGAGUCCCAGAUGAGCUCAGCAGAACCACAGACUCUGUCAAUGGCUGGUCUGUAAGGUCCAGGAGGGUAGACACCUUGUCUUCUUGCUUCAUCACUGCGCAUCCAGCAUCUGGCACAAUACCUGGCACAUUGGACAUGGACUGUGAACAGUAUCUUCAAACUGACCUCUUGGAAAAAUCCCACAGCUUCCAAGUCACAACAUCUUCCAAGUGUCAGCACAUCCGCAUAACGAACGACACGGAAUCAC
rnacentral:lncRNA from 1 species